CCCGUACCGUAAACCGACACAGGUGGGUGGGAUGAGUAUUCUAAGGCGCGUGGAAGAACCCUGGUUAAGGAACUCUGCAAACUAGCACCGUAUCUUCGGUAUAAGGUGUGCCUACUUUGGUAUAGAGAUUUACUCUCGAAAGCUAAAGAGGUUGCAACAAAGAGUCCCUCCCGACUGUUUACCAAAAACACAGCACUUUGCUAACACGUAAGUGGAUGUAUAAGGUGUGACGCCUGCCCGGUGCUCGAAGGUUAACUGAUGAUGUUAGAGUAAUCGAAGCAUUUGAUUGAAGCCCGAGUAAACGGCGGCCGUAACUAUAACGGUCCUAAGGUAGCGAAAUUCCUUGUCGGGUAAGUUCCGACCUGCACGAAUGGCGUAACGAUGGCCACACUGUCUCCUCCUGAGACUCAGCGAAGUUGAAAUGUUUGUGAUGAUGCAAUCUCCCCGCGGAAAGACGGAAAGACCCCAUGAACCUUUACUGUAGCUUUGUAUUGGACUUUGAACAGAUCUGUGUAGGAUAGGUGGGAGGCUUUGAAGUGAGGUCGCUAGAUCUCAUGGAGCCGACGUUGAAAUACCACCCUGGUGUGUUUGAGGUUCUAACCUAGGUCCCUUAUCGGGAUCGGGGACAGUGCAUGGUAGGCAGUUUGACUGGGGCGGUCUCCUCCCAAAGCGUAACGGAGGAGUUCGAAGGUACGCUAGUUACGGUCGGACAUCGUGACGAUAGUGCAAUGGCAUAAGCGUGCUUAACUGCGAGACUGACAAGUCGAGCAGAUGCGAAAGCAGGACAUAGUGAUCCGGUGGUUCUGUAUGGAAGGGCCAUCGCUCAACGGAUAAAAGGUACUCUGGGGAUAACAGGCUGAUACCGCCCAAGAGUUCAUAUCGACGGCGGUGUUUGGCACCUCGAUGUCGGCUCAUCUCAUCCUGGGGCUGUAGUCGGUCCCAAGGGUAUGGCUGUUCGCCAUUUAAAGAGGUACGUGAGCUGGGUUUAAAACGUCGUGAGACAGUUUGGUCCCUAUCUUCCGUGGGCGCUGCAGAUUUGAGGAAGCCUGCUCCUAGUACGAGAGGACCGGAGUGGACGCACCUCUGGUGUACCGGUUGUCACGCCAGUGGCAUUGCCGGGUAGCUAUGUGCGGAAGAGAUAACCGCUGAAAGCAUCUAAGCGGGAAACUCGUUCCAAGAUGAGAUCUGCCGGGGCCUCGAGCCCCCUAAAGAGUCGUUCUAGACCAGGACGUUGAUAGGCUGGGUGUGGAAGCGCAGCAAUGCGUUAAGCUAACCAGUACUAAUUGCUCGUGCGGCUUGACCCU
rnacentral:rRNA from 1 species